UGCUGCAUAUUGCAUUGCUACUGUAAUAGUGAAAGGAAGAAUAAAAAAGGAAGUUUGACAGGAGUUAGGAUCUUACAUCUUCCGACGCUCGAAGAAGACUAACAACGAAAUGGGAAAUAACUACUCAGUGUACCCGACGAACACCGAAAGUACACGAAGGUUAAUGUGCUUAGAAGUUCGAUGACGAAAUUUUAAGCAAAGAAACCAAACACAACAUUGGAAUACAGACGCCGGCUGAGGAGUGAGAGAGAUACGAUUGAUUGAGAGAUACAUUGAACGACUAAGAGACGAUAUUUUCUAUUAGGAAAUAAAAAAGAAAAAAUCAAAAGAAUUAUCUCGAAAGCGGAACUUUCGCCGAUGCAGAAAGGUCUUAUUGAAAUGCAGAGGUACCCUCCGAAGUGGAAGUCACUUUCGGGAGUCCCGAAAUAACAGGCUAGCGGACAACGUGCGGAGAAUCCUUCGCUUCCUGAAACGGCCAUCGGGCGAGAUACGAAUUCGUAAUUGACGUGGUGGCACUCACUAUACGUCAGCUUUAUACCCAAGCAUUCUCCA